AACGAACGCUGGCGGCAGGCCUAACACAUGCAAGUCGAGCGGACCCUUCGGGGUUAGCGGCGGACGGGUGAGUAACGCGUGGGAAUAUGCCCUUCUCUACGGAAUAGUCCUGGGAAACUGGGGGUAAUACCGUAUACGCCCUUUGGGGGAAAGAUUUAUCGGGGAAGGAUUAGCCCGCGUUGGAUUAGGUAGUUGGUGGGGUAAUGGCCUACCAAGCCGACGAUCCAUAGCUGGUUUGAGAGGAUGAUCAGCCACACUGGGACUGAGACACGGCCCAGACUCCUACGGGAGGCAGCAGUGGGGAAUCUUAGACAAUGGGGGCAACCAUGAUCUAGCCAUGCCGCGUGAGUGAUGAAGGCCUUAGGGUUGUAAAGCUCUUUCAGCUGGGAAGAUAAUGACGGUACCAGCAGAAGAAGCCCCGGCUAACUCCGUG
rnacentral:rRNA from 1 species